ensembl:processed_transcript RIKEN cDNA B230206L02 gene
GAGGAGGGGCAGGGCAGGUGCCCAGUCCAGAGAAGAGUUGAAGAUGACAAGCCGCACCACACCUCCCCCCAACUCACUUGGGACUGGAUCCACCCUGAGGAGCCUCGGGUCAACAUCCUGUUUCCUGCAAGCCCUCCUGGAGGCCACACAGAGGGGUGUUUGUUCUUAGUGUGCAGCGGGAGAGAUGCUAAUCGCGUUGGAUAGCUGGUCCCCGCUGAAGGUCAGGAGGAUCCAUCAUUUACCUACCAAGAUAAGUACCUUACUUGCCAUGAACGUGAACGAUGCAGGCGGCUAGAGGGCUCACUCGGUAGCUAAAAGUGAUUGCUACACAGGACCAGCAAUCUGAAUUCAGUCCCCAGGAACCAUGGGAAGCAAGAAGGAGAUGACCAGCUGCGUGGUUAGCUUCUGACUUCCCCACACCCACACCAAUAAAUACAUAUUUAUUUUAUGCGUG